rnacentral:rRNA from 1 species
AGUGAACGCUGGCGGUAGGCCUAACACAUGCAAGUCGAACGGCAGCACAGUAAGAGCUUGCUCUUACGGGUGGCGAGUGGCGGACGGGUGAGGAAUACAUCGGAAUCUACUUUUUCGUGGGGGAUAACGUAGGGAAACUUACGCUAAUACCGCAUAUGACCUACGGGUGAAAGCAGGGGAUCUUCGGACCUUGCGCGAUUGAAUGAGCCGAUGUCGGAUUAGCUAGUUGGCGGGGUAAAGGCCCACCAAGGCGACGAUCCGUAGCUGGUCUGAGAGGAUGAUCAGCCACACUGGAGCUGAGACACGGUCCAGACUCCUGCGGGAGGCAGCAGUGGGGAAUAUUGGGCAAUGGGCGCAAGCCUGAUCCAGCCAUACCGCGUGGGUGAAGAAGGCCUUCGGGUUGUAAAGCCCUUUUGUUGGGAAAGAAAAGCAGCAGGUUAAUACCCCGCUGUUCUGACGGUACCCAAAGAAUAAGCACCGGCUAACUUCGUG